ACUUCCUCGGGGAGAGGUGGUGGCGCGCGGGUCCUGGUCCAGCGGCUCCAAAGGCAGAACUAAUGAUGAAUCCGUGACUCCUAACCCGGGAGCUCAAGUCUCAGCUCCCCGGGGUCGGUUCCGGGACGGCGCGCGGCCCCAAGGUGGAAGGCUGAGAAGUUCCCCACGGCGGAGCCCGGACGAGGGGACCAGAGGGGAGGGGGCGGCGCUAGGUCGGAGCGCAGGAAGCCUCGGCCCGUGGGCCGGGACCGUGGGAAGCCAAGCUGGGGGCGGGGCCGCGCGGAGCCACCCAGGGGCCCGGCUCCGGGAUCCCCCUGAUGGGGCGCGGGCAGAGAGGGGGCACCCUGGCCGCUACCUGCUGUUGGAUCUUCCCGUCCUCCGUGACGACCCAGUGCGUAGUGGCCAAGGCCCCUCGAGCCACCACGCUCAGCAAAGCGGAAAGGCUGAGAAGCCAACCCGGGCCGGAGCGAGGUAGCAGCUCGAACCGGCCGCGGACCCCUAUUGCCGCCGCCAUCUUGCCCCCCCGGCCGGGCCGCUCACACCGGAAGCGGAAGCGACUCCUUGCCGUCCGCCAUCUUGGGGAGGUCGCCUCUGGAACUGGAGGAGGAGCCCGCGGAGUGCCUUGGAGUCGAUACCGGUCCCUUUACCCUCGGUCGGGGCAGCCGGUCCUGCCACACCUCAGGGCUGGAAACUGCUUUCUAGUUAUCGUUUUUCUGUAGGCUAUAAGAUCCCCAAGCGUGGGAAUCGGAGGGGAGAUAAUAAAACUAGGUGGAGCUUGAGCAGAAGUGAGAAGACGGUGAAGGUCUUUUUAAAAAUUGCAGAGGUUUCAGCUCAUGGCUGGAUGGUGGUGAGGGAGAGGAUUAGGGCAGCAGAGCUGUGACAGAAGGCUGAGAAGCAAAUAAAGAUACAAAGAGGCUAGGGACAAGAUUUUCUCCAUGUUCCAUAUUCAUCUGGUUGACAAAGCCAUGUAUUGGGCUGGUGCCCUAAUGACUCACUCACUUACCUGAAGCCCACCUCUGAAUACUGGAGACCAAGCUUCAACGCAUGGGCCUUGGAGGCCCUUUUCACAUCCAAACCAUGACUGAACAAUUACCGCUUCUGAGUUACUAUGUGCUAGGCAGUCAUGUCACUUAAAAAAAAAUCCUGUUUAAGCACUGAUUUUUUUCUUCUUCCAUACAAUUGUACUUCUUUCCUUCCAUGAAACCUAGAGAAAUAUAAAGUCAUAAUGGGAGAAUCGCCAGCCACUCACACUGUGAGGUUUUAGUGCAGUAUAUACCAGGAAAUGUAUCUACUUGAUCUUUCAAUAUGAAAUAAUUUUUAAAGGUUAAAUUGUAUCAACACAUCUCUGCAUGUGGGUCUGUGCACAUGAAUGCAGUUGUCUGCUGUGGAGGCAUACGCUGGGUCCAUUGGAGCUACAGUUACAGGCAUAACUGCCUAAUGUGGGUGCUGAGGAUUAAACUGGGGUUCUCUGCAAGAGCAGUACCAUACUUUGCAGUCUCAAAACUGGGACAGAUGUUGUAAUUUGUAAUCUAAUAUAGGCAUUUAUUAAAAGUUUAUUACACUUUAUGUGUGUGUAGGUCAUAGGACAACUAUCAUGAGUUGGUUCUUUCCAUCAUGUGGAUGUGGGGAUUGUUAGACUUGGCAGCAAACUCGUUGUAUCUGCUGAGCCAUUUUGCUGGCCCAAGUUUUUAUUUUUAAUAGACCUUAUUAGCUUAUGCUUGCUUCAAACUUGAACCUCCUGCCUCAGCCUCCUGCUUACUGGGGUUGCAGAUGUAUGUCACUGAAUCUGUUAUUUUCUUCCAUCCUCAAACCUUUUCAAGAGUCUCCCUAUAUAGCCUAAGUCACUUGUGAUCCUCCUACCUUGGUACCCUGAUAGUUAUAGGCACAGGACACCAUGCUUCAGCUCUCCUGAUGCUGUUUUGUCAGAAUGGAAUCUUUUCCAGAAGACUGUAUUUACUUAUAAAAAUAUAUCCAAACCAGAUGGCUUUUAAGACUGACCUUGACAACAGAGCAUACCAUAUGAGAAGCAAUCAAUAAAUGCUAAUAUCUAAAA
ensembl:processed_transcript RIKEN cDNA 2810002D19 gene